ACACGGAGCGGGAUUUAUCCACCAGAGCUGUUCCUGUGGGAAUUGAGUCCCUGUCCAUCCUAAAAAACACCAGAGAGGGAACUCCUGGAUGCAAAGGAAUUUUCACCCAAUUCCACUGACAGAGGAGAUGGAGCUGCUGCAGCCUCCAAUUGUGUGAAAACCUUGGAAAUAUCUCAGAAAGACCCGACUGAAAUUCCAAUUUCCAAAACCCCAAAGAAGAAAAAAGUGACUUUUGGGGAGGUUUUGAGCCCUGAAAUCUUCGAUCAGAGCCUUCCCCCCAACACCCCCCUGCGCAGAGGAGCCUCCCCGGGGCCUCCACGGGGGGAGAAAUCCCCUGGAAUGGGGGGAAAAAUCCCUGGAGAGGCUUUGGGAGUGCUGGAUUUGGGCUGGGAGCAGGAUUGUGUUGAACCUCCCCAGGAAUUGCUGGAAAUUUCUGUUCCUUCCCCCGUUGGAAAUU